CUCUCAUUGGUAGUAUCAGCUUCUCGCCAAACGGAGUCUUUGCUUGUUCGCCGCUACACCGAAAGAACCCGGGAAUACACGCUACUGCCUCCGUGAUGCAAAGAGCUGCAGUGAAGUAAUAAUGCUUAAAUGAAGUGAAAGAACAGCAGGGCACGGAUAAAUAUAAGCAGAGCACAGUGUGCUGGGAUCCACCAUAUGGCGUGGACAAUUUCACGGUGCCCUAUGGGAUAAUGGAGGAUUUUUUUAUGCCUUCUGCAGUUUUGGGCAGAGCAGUCGACGGAAACGGAUCAAGCGGAAUCAUUGUUGCCUGCAAAAGCGGCCUGGGACGUAUAAUCAUUUUGCCACCAUACUGGCUAUUCUGCGUUAAAGUCAUUCCUGUAACUUAACCUCUUUUUUUCCAGUUGAAUGCCCCCCCACCCCAACACACACACACACACACACACACACACACACACACACACACACACACACACACACACACACACACACAAGGUAGGCCUGUACAACCACCGGGAGAGGAUUUGAUCUCUUUUGAUGCGUACGGGAUGCUUGGGAUUUUUUCUCUCUUUCCAUUUUUCCUCAAACUUGACAUCCCAAAACAUCUUUAGCUACACGACAGAGGCUUCAAAGACUGCAAAAUAAAGACUGAUUAUAUUUGUUGUAACAGGUUAUACGGAAAGGUUUCGAGGUCUCUGCUCUUUUCCCACAGUAGAGUGGAUGCAGCUGGUGGACAUACACACACACACACACACAUACACACACAGAGAGAGAGAGAGAGAGCGCGAGAGAUGAGCGGGUUGUCUCUCCGUGUUCACAGCGGACCUUGAUUUAAUGUCUUACAAUUAAGGCACGCGGUGAAUGCCAAGAGAUGAUCUUCCUUUCUUCCCCAAGCUGCACAUCCCAGAAAUGAAAAGUUCAAAGAUACAGAUUAAAAAACAAAAAACAAAACAAAGCAAACAAACAAACAAAAAAACGAUAUUAUAGUAUUGUUAAUACUAUACUGGUGGCGGUCUGACAAUGAAGUUUUUUUUUCUCUUGUAUUUCAGACUGUAAGGCAUUAUUCGUGUACUGUCUUGCAUUUAAUAAUAAAGUAAAUGCAAUAUUUUAAA